GGGGCUGUAGUCUAACUUGGCAUGAUUAGCGGUUCGGGACCGCUCGGUCGGGGUUCAAAUCCUCGCAGCCCCA
rnacentral:tRNA from 1 species